ACCCCUUUAAUAUCUCUUAAGUACUCUCCUUUCCCACGUACCUCUGAAAAAAUAAUGAAAUGAAAAGAAAAAGAAGUGGAAAAAAAUAAUCAUCUAUGUGGAGAAAGGUCAUAUCCUUAAUAUUUUUCCAUCUUUCCUAUGUUUUUGUUGUUUUUUUCCAUAUUUUCCCCCAUUUUUCCUCUAUUUUUUCCAUCCUCAGGAGUCC
rnacentral:lncRNA from 1 species